rnacentral:rRNA from 1 species
GACAGAGGGUGCAAACGUUGUUCGGAAUUACUGGGCGUAAAGCGCGUGUAGGCUGCUCGGAAAGUCGGGUGUGAAAGCCCUGGGCUCAACCUAGGAAGUGCACUCGAAACUUCCGAGCUGGAGUUUCGGAGAGGAAGGCGGAAUUCUCGGUGUAGAGGUGAAAUUCGUAGAUAUCGAGAGGAACAUCGGUGGCGAAGGCGGC